CAGCCGCCGCGGUAAUACGUAGGUGGCAAGCGUUGUCCGGAAUUAUUGGGCGUAAAGGGCUCGCAGGCGGUUUCUUAAGUCUGAUGUGAAAGCCCCCGGCUCAACUGGGGAGGGUCAUUGGAAACUGGGAAACUUGAGUGCAGAAGAGGAGAGUGGAAUUCCACGUGUAGCGGUGAAAUGCGUAGAGAUGUGGAGGAACACCAGUGGCGAAGGCGACUCUCUGGUCUGUAACUGACGCUGAGGAGCGAAAGCGUGGGGAGCGAACAGGAUUAGAUACCCCUGUAGUCCCUGUCUCUUAUAC
rnacentral:rRNA from 1 species